rnacentral:lncRNA from 1 species
CUGGAGCGCGAGCAGCAGCAGAUCGACGCACAGGCCGCCAAGCUCGAGAAGAGGCUACGCAGGGUCAUGGAGGCUGGUAACCGCGACGUGGAGGAGGAGCGACUCAUGCAGCGCUGGUUUACGCUCGUUAACAAGAAGAACGCGCUCAUCAGGCGUCAGGAACAGCUUAGUAUAUUGGAGAAGGAGAGUAACCUGGAGAGACGCUUUGCGCUGCUCAACAGGGAGCUGCGCGCCAUCAUCAGCAUCGAUG